rfam:Picea glauca, whole genome shotgun sequence.
AUGUACAUUCCUACAACAUAGCAUUAAUGCACCUGAUCCCAUUAGAACUUCGAAGUUAAGCACGCUCUUAGACUAGAGUAGUACUGGGAUGGGUGAUCACCUGGGAAGUCCUAGUGUUUUACAUG